CCUACGGGAGGCAGCAGUGGGGAAUUUUGGACAAUGGGCGCAAGCCUGAUCCAGCAAUGCCGCGUGAGUGAAGAAGGCCUUCGGGUUGUAAAGCUCUUUUGUCAGGGAAGAAACGGUGGUUCCUAAUACGGACUACUAAUGACGGUACCUGAAGAAUAAGCACCGGCUAACUACGUGCCAGCAGCCGCGGUAAUACGUAGGGUGCAAGCGUUAAUCGGAAUUACUGGGCGUAAAGCGUGCGCAGGCGGUUAUAUAAGUCAGAUGUGAAAUCCCCGGGCUCAACCUGGGAACUGCAUUUGAGACUGUAUGGCUAGAGUGUGUCAGAGGGGGGUAGAAUUCCACGUGUAGCAGUGAAAUGCGUAGAUAUGUGGAGGAAUACCGAUGGCGAAGGCAGCCCCCUGGGAUAACACUGACGCUCAUGCACGAAAGCGUGGGGAGCAAACAGGAUUAGAUACCCUGGUAGUCCACGCCCUAAACGAUGUCUACUAGUUGUCGGGACUUAAUUGUCUUGGUAACGCAGCUAACGCGUGAAGUAGACCGCCUGGGGAGUACGGUCGCGAAGNUUAAAACUCAAAUGAAUUGACGG
rnacentral:rRNA from 1 species